UUCCAAAUUCAAAGGGAGAACACGUAACAUGGCUUCGGGACCAAUUGCACGAACAAAGGAGCCAAUGGCUUCAUCAACCAGUGCCUUUCCAUCAAACCCUUCCGAUCCCCUAAGGUAAUCAAUGACCUCCAAGGCUGGAAUUAAAUAGGGAUCUGAAUGAGGACCUAAUUUGUCACACAAAGAAGAGAUAAUCUGAAAGCAUUCUGGGUAAGCAAGACGAAAACGAAUAUCCCUUAAUGCAUCACAAAUAAAGGAACAGAUUUCUUCGACAACGGCAAAUGAAUUUGGAGUAGUGUCCAAAC